CAGGAACCAAUGUGACAGAUCCCGAGUCCCUGCAUUUAUAAUCUAUGCAUUUUCUUGUAUUUCGCUUAACACAGAAGCCAUAGCCAAAACCAGGCAGGCGACCACCACCUCCUAGUCAAAGUAUUUGCACAACUACCAUUACCUUAUAGACGAAAAAGGAAGAAACAGAGUAUAAAUAUUUAUAAUAUGGAAGGUAUUGUAGUAAGAAGGGCUAUUCCCUCAGACAAUAGUUGCCUCUUCAAUGCGGUUGGGUAUGCUAUCGACCAUGACAAGAAAAAAAGCUCCUGAGUUGAGACAGGUAUAUGGACAUUCAGGGAUUAUAAGUACACCAGUCAUUUAAGGUUAUAGCAGCAACAGUAGCAAGUGAUCCAACUAAGUAUUCUGAAGCAUUUCUAGGUAAACCAAAUGAAGAGUAUUGUUCUUGGAUUCUUGACUCUGAGAAGUGGGGAGGUUUGUUAAAAAUAAAUAAACUUUCCUUUUCCUACGUAUAUGAAUAUUGGUUAUGAAACAAAAUGCACAAUGAAAAGCUUUUCUUGUGAAAGUUUUGGUUAUUUCUGAUAGCCAACUAAGUAUCCGAACCUUAAUUAUACAAUACUGACUUAUGUCUUCUUUGACAGUAUUGCACAUUGUUGAUAUAUUUGACAAAGUUUCUGCGCCUUGACUGUUCAAGAAAUAGUGUGUGUAGCCACUUGUCUAUAAGAUUGACUGUUCAAGAAAUAGCAUUAGUAGUGAGUUCUCAUGUAUAUUAAUCUUGUCAGUUCCAUUUCGGAAUGUUUAUGCUCAUUUUCGUAUGGGGUACUUUUGACAAGAGAAGUAUUCCGAAAGGGCUCUGCUGAUCCAAGAUGGGCUUCAUUACGAUGCUUUAGCUGUAUGUGGUUCUGAUGAUUUAUGUUAAUUUUCUGUUUAUGAAUUUUACUGGUUAUCAGUGUGGACGGAUAAGUAAGAAGUGGCUUCACUAUGGCCUCAAGUAGGGCCAAUUUUUUGGAAAUAUGUGGUUUCCUUGUUUUACCAAAAUGCCCUUAAAUAAAUCCCAAUUUUCAACACCCAACCAAGUUCUCCUAUGUUUUUUGAGUUUUUAACGCCAAACAUGUAAGCACAUAGGACUCAAAUCGCCUGAGAGCCACACCUCUGUAUCUCCCUAACAAAUCUAAUGUUAAUCUCUUUCACAACAACACAGACUGCUCAAUGGCUAUUGAAUCUUCCCUUUUUCCCAUGCUCUCUUUACCUAUGUGCUGAGAGACUUUGCCUCGUAGGUCUUGGCUUUUGCUCUUUUCGAGUUGUACUUUUUCAUGAUUUAUAAUUGAUGUGAAUUAAUUUUCAAUAUAUGUUAAAACAAAGAUAGUUACUGAUAUUUAAGCUAUUUUAUUUCUGGACAUUUGCUCUCCUCUGUUUCUAAUUAAGGUUAAAUUUUCCCAGUUAAUGGUCAUUGGUUUCUGCAUCAUAUUGUCUCAGAUGUCACCCCUUGAGGGAGCUCCAGAGGAGUUUGAUCAGACUAUAUUUGCAGUUAAGGACAGUACCAUUGGGCCAGUUGAGGGGCUCGCUCUUAAUCUUGUGAAAGAAGA